CUCAGCCGCGCCUUUGUGAGCUCUACCUGCUCCGCGAGAUCGAGCCCCGGCCCCGGCCAGACCUGCCUCGGCGCUGCGCGAGGUGUGACUAGGACUGAGGAGACGCUCGGUGAGGAGCAAGCUCUACUUUCUCAGGACAUCGACUGGCUCCCAGAAACACAGUCAUAUAUUCUUGAAGCUUUAACGCCAUGUCCAAGGACUUGCUGACAUUUGAGGAUGUGUCUGUAGAUUUCACUCAAGAGGAAUGGCAACAGCUGAGUGACACACAGAGAGACUUGUACAGGAAGGUGACAUUGGAGAACUAUAGGAGCCUGGUGUCGCUGGCAGGAAUUCCUAUUUACAAACCAGUCGUGAUCUCAUUACUGGAACAAGGAAAAGACCCCUGGAUGGUGCAGAAGAAGGGGG
rnacentral:lncRNA from 1 species